rnacentral:rRNA from 1 species
AGAGUUUGAUCAUGGCUCAGGAUGAACGCUGGCGGCGUGCUUAACACAUGCAAGUCGAACGAACCUUCGGGUUAGUGGCGGACGGGUGAGUAACGCGUGAGAAUCUGCCCUCAGGAGGGGGAUAACGGUUGGAAACGACCGCUAAUACCCCAUAUGCCUACUGGUGAAAUGAAUUUCGCCUGAGGAUGAGCUCGCGUCUGAUUAGCUAGUUGGUGAGGUAAUGGCUCACCAAGGCUUCGAUCAGUAGCUGGUCUGAGAGGAUGAUCAGCCACACUGGGACUGAGACACGGCCCAGACUCCUACGGGAGGCAGCAGUGGGGAAUUUUCCGCAAUGGGCGAAAGCCUGACGGAGCAACGCCGCGUGAGGGACGAAGGCCUCUGGGCUGUAAACCUCUUUUCUCAAGGAAGAAGAUAUGACGGUACUUGAGGAAUAAGCCACGGCUAAUUCCGUGCCAGCAGCCGCGGUAAUACGGGAGUGGCAAGCGUUAUCCGGAAUUAUUGGGCGUAAAGCGUCCGCAGGCGGCUUUUCAAGUCUGCUGUUAAAGCGUGGAGCUUAACUCCAUCAUGGCAGUGGAAACUGAAAGGCUUGAGUAUGGUAGGGGCAGAGGGAAUUCCCGGUGUAGCGGUGAAAUGCGUAGAUAUCGGGAAGAACACCAGUGGCGAAGGCGCUCUGCUGGGCCAUUACUGACGCUCAUGGACGAAAGCCAGGGGAGCGAAAGGGAUUAGAUACCCCUGUAGUCCUGGCCGUAAACGAUGAACACUAGGUGUCGGGGGAAUCGACCCCCUCGGUGUCGUAGCUAACGCGUUAAGUGUUCCGCCUGGGGAGUACGCACGCAAGUGUGAAACUCAAAGGAAUUGACAGGGGCCCGCACAAGCGGUGGAGUAUGUGGUUUAAUUCGAUGCAACGCGAAGAACCUUACCAGGGUUUGACAUCCUGCGAACCUCUUAGAAAUUUGAGGGUGCCUUCGGGAAUGCAGUGACAGGUGGUGCAUGGCUGUCGUCAGCUCGUGUCGUGAGAUGUUGGGUUAAGUCCCGCAACGAGCGCAACCCACGUUUUUAGUUGCCAGCAUUUAGUUGGGCACUCUAGAAAGACCGCCGGUGAUAAACCGGAGGAAGGUGUGGAUGACGUCAAGUCAUCAUGCCCCUUACACCCUGGGCUACACACGUACUACAAUGCUACGGACAAAGGGCAGCAAACUCGCGAGAGCUAGCAAAUCCCAUAAACCGUGGCUCAGUUCAGAUCGUAGGCUGCAACUCGCCUACGUGAAGUAGGAAUCGCUAGUAAUCGCAGGUCAGCAUACUGCGGUGAAUACGUUCCCGGGCCUUGUACACACCGCCCGUCACACCAUGGAAGUUGGCCAUGCCCGAAGUCGUUACUCCAACCCUUGUGGAGGAGGACGCCGAAGGUGGGGCUAAUGACUGGGGUGAAGUCGUAACAAGGUAGCCGUA